rnacentral:lncRNA from 1 species
CUCGCACAAGCACUGAAAAAGGAGGAAGCAAUAUAAUCCGAAGGCAAAAUGAGCUUUCCAUGACUUUAUCCCCUGAACGAGAACAAAUAGACCUUUGUCCAGUGCAAAACACGCUGGAUGAAACAAAAAAUUCAGAGAAAUUGGAAUGGACACAUCCUAACCCAGAGGUUUAAUUUCCUAUAGUGCGUACUGAACCCAAGUGCAACAAAUCGAAGAGCUAAAACCGCCAGGCUGGAUCGUACGCGACUGACUAUUCAAAGGCAGAGAGGCGACGAGAGAUUAUUUAUCUUUCUUCUUCGGAGGAUGUGAAUAUUUCUAUCCAGGCACAUCCUUGUUGUGCUUGGCACUUGAACAGGUUUGCAAACCUUGGCUGUUACUGCUGAUGAAGGUGGCUGAAAUCUGUGGUGAAAAAGGAGCUUACAGUCAUUUCUCACUGCCAUGAAGUCUGUGAUUGGCAGCCCAGUGGACAUUCAAAUAUGUUCCGUGGAUAAAUUUCUUCUCUGGAGAAGCCAAUCACCAAGGGAAUAACAGCCAGGAAGAAAUGAAAGCAGUAGUUGGUGAUUUAUGAUUUGGAAUGACGAGACCAUCUUUUCUCAAGAACAGAAACACUUUGUGUUAUCAGAACGAUGGACAAAAGAUUGGUUCCAAAGCAUGGAUAAAGACAAUUGGAUUUUCCAGUUCAGAUGAAUCUGGGAGAAAUGAAACCUCGGCUCCUCUGGGCACAUUUCCCUGGUGUGAGGUUGGAAAUCCCAAUCCUUACGGGAAGGAGACUGUGAGGACUAUAAACGAUUGACCCUCCAGCUGGACCUCGUCAGAAGAGGGUCUAGCAAUCAGAGCGUGCUUAAUGCGUGACAUUCAUGAUGAAGAGGACGAUGACUUCAAAGUGUGGGAUGUGCUGAUCGAUCAUAUAUCCCAAUUCAACUUUCCUUCAAACGUGUCCUGCACCUUCUCCUUGGAAUGCAUAUAAUGCAAAUGCUGUCUCUUUAAUUUCCUUUCGGUCCUACUGCCAUUGAUGGCUCCGGCAUUGUUUCACUGUCACAUUUUAAUAACAGUGUUUUAUUGUUGAAUUUCACUUGCGAGUUUCUGUCUAUUUUUGACUUGUACACAUGGGUCUACGAUUAACUUUCAAUCUGCUGCAUGACAUAAAAGAUAUUACUGCCUUAGUCUUGUGCUCCAAAGAGUGUCCAAGCACAUUACCCCUUGAGGCUCGUGUUCUGAUGACAUACUUAGAAGUAGAUUGCGGGUAUUUUGGCAGGUUGACUCAUUUAGCCCUGUUAAAAGAACA